rnacentral:rRNA from 1 species
CCUACGGGAGGCAGCAGUGGGGAAUAUUGGUCAAUGGGCGAAAGCCUGAACCAGCAAUACCGCGUGAGUGAUGAAGGCCUUCGGGUUGUAAAGCUCUGUCAGUGGGAACGAAAAAAAUGACGGUACCCACAAAGGAAGCACCGGCUAACUCUGUGCCAGCAGCCGCGGUAAU